GAUGAACGCUGGCGGCGUGCCUAAUACAUGCAAGUCGAGCGAAUGGAUUAAGAGCUUGCUCUUAUGAAGUUAGCGGCGGACGGGUGAGUAACACGUGGGUAACCUGCCCAUAAGACUGGGAUAACUCCGGGAAACCGGGGCUAAUACCGGAUAACAUUUUGAACCGCAUGGUUCGAAAUUGAAAGGCGGCUUCGGCUGUCACUUAUGAAUGGACCCGCGUCGCAUUAGCUAGUUGGUGAGGUAACGGCUCACCAAGGCAACGAUGCGUAGCCGACCUGGGAGGGUGAUCGGCCACACUGGACGGAGACACGGCCCAGACUCCUACGGGAGGCAGCAGUAGGGAAUCUUCCGCAAUGGACGAAAGUCUGACGGAGCAACGCCGCGUGAGUGAUGAAGGCUUUCGGGUCGUAAAACUCUGUUGUUAGGGAAGAACAAGUGCUAGUUGAAUAAGCUGGCACCUUGACGGUACCUAACCAGAAAGCCACGGCUAACUACGUGCCAGCCGCCGCGGUAA
rnacentral:rRNA from 1 species